GAUGAACGCUGGCGGCGUGCCUAAUACAUGCAAGUCGAGCGAACAGACGAGGAGCUUGCUCCUUUGACGUUAGCGGCGGACGGGUGAGUAACACGUAGGUAACCUACCUAUAAGACUGGGAUAACUUCGGGAAACCGGAGCUAAUACCGGAUAAUAUUUCGAACCGCAUGGUUCGAUAGUGAAAGAUGGCUUUGCUAUCACUUAUAGAUGGACCUGCGCCGUAUUAGCUAGUUGGUAAGGUAACGGCUUACCAAGGCAACGAUACGUAGCCGACCUGAGAGAGUGAUAGGCCACACUGGAACUUAGCCACGGUCCAUACUCCUACGGGAGGCAGCAGUAGGGAAUCUUCCGCAAAGGGCGAAAGCCUAACGGAGCAACGCCGCGUGAGUGAUGAAGGUCUUCGGACCUUAAAACUCUGUUAUUAGGGAAGAACAAACGUGUAAGUAACUGUGCACGUCUUGACGGUACCUAAUCAGAAAGCCACGGCUAACUACGUG
rnacentral:rRNA from 1 species